UAGAGUUUGAUCAUGGCUCAGAACGAACGCUGGCGGCAGGCUUAACACAUGCAAGUCGAACGAGAUCUUCGGAUCUAGUGGCGGACGGGUGAGUAACGCGUGGGAACGUGCCCUUUACUACGGAAUAGUCCCGGGAAACUGGGUUUAAUACCGUAUACGCCCUUCGGGGGAAAGAAUUUCGGUGAAGGAUCGGCCCGCGUUGGAUUAGGUAGUUGGUGGGGUAAUGGCCUACCAAGCCGACGAUCCAUAGCUGGUUUUAGAGGAUGAUCAGCCACACUGGGACUGAGACACGGCCCAGACUCCUACGGGAGGCAGCAGUGGGGAAUCUUAGACAAUGGGGGAAACCCUGAUCUAGCCAUGCCGCGUGAGUGACGAAGGCCUUAGGGUCGUAAAGCUCUUUCAACGGUGAAGAUAAUGACGGUAGCCGUAGAAGAAACCCCGGCUAACUCCGUGCCAGCAGCCGCGGUAAUACGGAGGGGGUUAGCGUUGUUCGGAAUUACUGGGCGUAAAGCGCGCGUAGGCGGAUUGGAAAGUUGGGGGUGAAAUCCCGGGGCUCAACCCCGGAACUGCCUCCAAAACUAUCAGUCUAGAGUUCGAGAGAGGUGAGUGGAAUUCCGAGUGUAGAGGUGAAAUUCGUAGAUAUUCGGAGGAACACCAGUGGCGAAGCGGCUCACUGGCUCGAUACUGACGCUGAGUGCGAAAGUGUGGGGAGCAACAGGAUUAGAUACCCUGGUAGUCCACACGUAAACGAUGAAUGCCAGUCGUCGGGUAGCAUGCUAUUCGGUGACC
rnacentral:rRNA from 1 species